AGUCAAAACACAGCGGAAAAUACAAGUCCUCCGUCACCAGACCGACCUGCACACUCGCAAGCCUCUGGCUCCUGUUACUAUCAUGUAAUCUCCAAAGUCCCCAGGAUUCGAGCACCCAGUUACUCUCCAACACAGAGAUCCCCCGGCUGCCGGCCGUUGCCUUCUGCAGGAAGUCCUACCCCAACAACUCAUGAAAUCGUCACGGUGGGUGAUCCUUUACUCUCCUCUGGACUUCGAAGCAUUGGCUCCAGGCGUCACAGUACUUCCUCCUUGUCACCCCA